GCACGCCAGUGCUCUAUUGCAGGUCGUACGGCAACAGGAAGAAGCUUGCUUCUUUGCUGACGAGUGGCGGACGGGUGAGUAAUGUCUGGGAAACUGCCUGAUGGAGGGGGAUAACUGAUGGAAACGGUAGCUAAUACCGCAUAACGUCGCAAAACCAAAGAGGGGGACCUUCGGGCCUCUUGCCAUCGGAUGUGCCCAGAUGGGAUUAGCUAGUAGGUGGGGUAACGGCUCACCUAGGCGACGAUCCCUAGCUGGUCUGAGAGGAUGACCAGCCACACUGGAACUGAGACACGGUCCAGACUCCUACGGGAGGCAGCAGUGGGGAAUAUUGCACAAUGGGCGCAAGCCUGAUGCAGCCAUGCCGCGUGUAUGAAGAAGGCCUUCGGGUUGUAAAGUACUUUCAGCGGGGAGGAAGGGAGUAAAGUUAAUACCUUUGCUCAUUGACGUUACCCGCAGAAGAAGCACCGGCUAACUCCGUGCCAGCAGCCGCGGUAAUACGGAGGGUGCAAGCGUUAAUCGGAAUUACUGGGCGUAAAGCGCACGCAGGCGGUUUGUUAAGUCAGAUGUGAAAUCCCCGGGCUCAACCUGGAACUGCAUCUGAUACUGGCAAGCUUGAGUCUCGUAGAGGGGGGUAGAAUUCCAGGUGUAGCGGUGAAAUGCGUAGAGAUCUGGAGGAAUACCGGUGGCGAAGGCGGCCCCCUGACGAAGACUGACGCUCAGGUGCGAAAGCGUGGGGAGCAACAGGAUUAGAUACCCUGUAGUCCACGCCGUAGACGAUGUCGACUGAGCUGUGCCUUGAGCGUGCCUUCGAAGCUACGCG
rnacentral:rRNA from 1 species